rnacentral:rRNA from 1 species
AACAUGGCUCAGGACGAACGCUGGCGGCGUGCCUAAUACAUGCAAGUCGAACGCUUCUUUUUCCACCGGAGCUUGCUCCACCGGAAAAAGAGGAGUGGCGAACGGGUGAGUAACACGUGGGUAACCUGCCCAUCAGAAGGGGAUAACACUUGGAAACAGGUGCUAAUACCGUAUAACAAUCGAAACCGCAUGGUUUUGAUUUGAAAGGCGCUUUCGGGUGUCGCUGAUGGAUGGACCCGCGGUGCAUUAGCUAGUUGGUGAGGUAACGGCUCACCAAGGCGACGAUGCAUAGCCGACCUGAGAGGGUGAUCGGCCACAUUGGGACUGAGACACGGCCCAAACUCCUACGGGAGGCAGCAGUAGGGAAUCUUCGGCAAUGGACGAAAGUCUGACCGAGCAACGCCGCGUGAGUGAAGAAGGUUUUCGGAUCGUAAAACUCUGUUGUUAGAGAAGAACAAGGAUGAGAGGUAACUGUUCCAUCCCCCUGACCGGUACGAGCCGA